UACGAAGGGGGCUAGCGUUGCUCGGAAUUACUGGGCGUAAAGGGCGCGUAGGCGGCGCGAUUUGUCGGGCGUGAAAUUCCUGGGCUUAACCUGGGGGCUGCGUCCGAAACGGUUGCGCUUGAGGACGGAAGAGGCUCGCGGAAUUCCCAGUGUAGAGGUGAAAUUCGUAGAUAUUGGGAAGAACACCGGUGGCGAAGGCGGCGAGCUGGUCCGUUACUGACGCUGAGGCGCGACAGCGUGGGGAG
rnacentral:rRNA from 1 species